UACGUAGGGGGCAAGCGUUGUCCGGAAUCAUUGGGCGUAAAGCGCGUGUAGGCGGCUUGGUAAGUCUGCUCUGAAAGCCCGGGGCUCAACCCCGGGAGGCGGGUGGAUACUGUCAAGCUCGAGUCCGGAAGAGGAGUGUGGAAUUCCUGGUGUAACGGUGAAAUGCGUAGAUAUCGGGAGGAAUACCGAUGGCGAAGGCAGGUCUCUGGGCUGACACUGACGCUCAUGCACGAAAGCGUGGGGGGCAAACAGG
rnacentral:rRNA from 1 species